rnacentral:rRNA from 1 species
CAGCAGCCGCGGGAAUACGAAGGGUGCAAGCGUUAAUCGGAAUUACUGGGCGUAAAGCGUGCGUAGGCGGUUUGUUAAGUCUGUUGUGAAAUCCCCGGGCUCAACCUGGGAAUGGCAAUGGAUACUGGCAAGCUAGAGUGUGUCAGAGGAUGGUGGAAUUCCCGGUGUAGCGGUGAAAUGCGUAGAGAUCGGGAGGAACAUCUGUGGCGAAGGCGACUAUCUGGGCCAACACUGACACUGAGGCACGAAAGCGUGGGGAGCAAACAGGAUUAGAUACCCCAGUAGUCCCUGUCUCUUAUAC